AGCGAACGCUGGCGGCAGGCCUAACACAUGCAAGUCGAACGAACCUUUCGGGGUUAGUGGCGGACGGGUGAGGAACACGUGGGAACGUGCCUUUAGGUUCGGAAUAACUCAGGGAAACUUGUGCUAAUACCGAAUGUGCCCUUCGGGGGAAAGAUUUAUCGCCUUUAGAGCGGCCGGCGUCUGUUUAGCUAGUUGGGUGAGGUAAUGGCGCACCAAGGCGACGAUCAGUAGCUGGUCUGAGAGAAUGAUCACCCACAUUGGGACUGAGACACGGCCCAAACUCCUACGGGAGGCAGGAGUGGGUAAUCUUGCGCAAUGGGCGAAAGCCUGACGCAGCCAGGCCGCGUGAAUGAUGAAGGUCUUAGGAUUGUAAAAUUCUUUAACCGGGGACGAUAAUGACGGUACCCGGAGAAGAAGCCCCGGCUAACUUCGUG
rnacentral:rRNA from 1 species